rnacentral:rRNA from 1 species
GAUGAACGCUGGCGGCGUGCCUAAUACAUGCAAGUCGAGCGAACGGACGAGAAGCUUGCUUCUCUGAUGUUAGCGGCGGACGGGUGAGUAACACGUGGAUAACCUACCUAUAAGACUGGGAUAACUUCGGGAAACCGGAGCUAAUACCGGAUAAUAUUUUGAACCGCAUGGUUCAAAAGUGAAAGACGGUCUUGCUGUCACUUAUAGAUGGAUCCGCGCUGCAUUAGCUAGUUGGUAAGGUAACGGCUUACCAAGGCAACGAUGCAUAGCCGACCUGAGAGGGUGAUCGGCCACACUGGAACUGAGACACGGUCCAGACGCCUACAGGAGGCAGCAGUAGGGAAUCUUCCGCAAUGGGCGAAAGCCUGACGGAGCAACGCCGCGUGAGUGAUGAAGGUCUUCGGAUCGUAAAACUCUGUUAUUAGGGAAGAACAUAUGUGUAAGUAACUUUGCACAUCUUGACGGUACCUAAUCAGAAAGCCACGGCUAACUACGUG